rnacentral:rRNA from 1 species
GACGAACGCUGGCGGCGUGCCUAAUUCAUGCAAGUCGAGCGGACGGAUGGGAGCUUGCUCCCAGACCGUCAGCGGCGGACGGGUGAGUAACACGUGGGCAACCUGCCUGUAAGACUGGGAUAACUCCGGGAAACCGGGGCUAAUACCGGAUAACUCUUUCCCUCACAUGAGGGAAAGCUGAAAGAUGGCAUCUCGCUAUCACUUACAGAUGGGCCCGCGGCGCAUUAGCUAGUUGGUGAGGUAACGGCUCACCAAGGCGACGAUGCGUAGCCGACCUGAGAGGGUGAUCGGCCACACUGGGACUGAGACACGGCCCAGACUCCUACGGGAGGCAGCAGUAGGGAAUCUUCCGCAAUGGACGAAAGUCUGACGGAGCAACGCCGCGUGAGUGAUGAAGGUUUUCGGAUCGUAAAACUCUGUUGUCAGGGAAGAACAAGUACCGGAGUAACUGCCGGUACCUUGACGGUACCUGACCAGAAAGCCACGGCUAACUACGUG